rnacentral:piRNA from 2 species
UCCAACAGUAAAGAUUUGCUAUCAGACA